rnacentral:lncRNA from 1 species
ACCCAGUAAGAGAAACUUGAAGAAGCACCACCUGACUGCACCAUCACUUUCCAGUAUCGUAUGUGCAUCAUCUGAAACACUUUCAAAUCGAGAGGACCUGUCGCCUAUUGAGGAAAGACUGGAAGAUGAUGAGCGCACCAUGGAUGCCUCUGAGGUUCUGGAGGAAAGUCUACAGAACAUGAGCAUCCAGGAUGCUGAAACCCAGGUCAUGAAUGAGCAGGAGAUAAAUGAUCUAAUGAACAGUGUAAUUGAUUGGGGGGACAGUGAAGGUGUUAGUAAUGAGGAGAUUGAAGCAGAUGACAGUGAAGAUGAGGACUAUGUCCCUCGUAUUUGUAUUCGGUUGGGUGGAGCAUUGCAGGCACCACCAUGCAUUGAUAAUCUGCCUGUGAUAGAUGCCAGUGAGACAGUACAUGACAUCCCGGAUGUAGAGCCUCCAUCAGUCACCUUACCUACACUUCAACAACCUGGCUUUCCUGAUACACUGGAGGUCAUGACUGAAGAUGACCUAAUCGGGAAACGGGCCUCCAUCACUUAUGAGGACUGUUUGAGGCAGCUUGCAACAUUACUUGUGCUUCCGGUCCAAAAGUGCCCAUACACAUGUGACGUCAGUAAAAUGGAGUGUCAGUGUCGCCCUCCAUUUGAAGUUUCCAUUACACGCAGGGGUACUGCAAGCAUCAUGGAAUGGACCUGCCUUGUUGGCCACACUGUAUGGAGAUGGAGCUCACAGCCAACUUUGAGGUACGGGAUGCUAGCAGGGGACUUUAUGUUGGCAAGCAACAUACUACUCUCCGGAAGCAACUACUCCAAAGUCUCGCUUCUGUUCCAGUUUAUGAACAUGGGGAUGGUGGACCGUAGUUCAUUUUUCACAAUUCAGGACACAUACAGUGUAGACACUGUGAAGGAGUUUUGGG